rnacentral:rRNA from 1 species
GAAAGUUAUAAAUGAAGCGGUCUGGAAAGGCCCGCCAAAGACGGUAACAGCCCGGUAGUUGAAAUGGCUUUCCCUCCAGAGUGGAUCCUGAGUACGGCGGAACACGUGAAAUUCCGUCGGAAUCCGGGAGGACCAUCUCCCAAGGCUAAAUACUCCCUAGUGACCGAUAGUGAACCAGUACCGUGAGGGAAAGGUGAAAAGCACCCCGGAAGGGGAGUGAAACAGUUCCUGAAACCGUGUGCCUACAAGUAGUUAGAGCCCGUUAAUGGGUGAUAGCGUGCCUUUUGUAGAAUGAACCGGCGAGUUACGAUUUGUUGCAAGGUUAAGCGGAAAAAGCGGAGCCGUAGCGAAAGCGAGUCUGAAUAGGGCGCAUAAGUAACAGGUCGUAGACCCGAAACCAGGUGAUCUACCCAUGUCCAGGAUGAAGGUAAGGUAAUACUUACUGGAGGUCCGAACCCACGCACGUUGAAAAGUGCGGGGAUGAGGUGUGGGUAGCGGAGAAAUUCCAAUCGAACUUGGAGAUAGCUGGUUCUCUCCGAAAUAGCUUUAGGGCUAGCCUCGAGGUAAAGAGUCAUGGAGGUAGAGCACUGUUUGGACUAGGGGCCCUUCUCGGGUUACCGAAUUCAGAUAAACUCCGAAUGCCAUGUACUUAUACUCGGGAGUCAGACUGCGAGUGAUAAGAUCCGUAGUCGAAAGGGAAACAGCCCAGACCACCAGUUAAGGUCCCCAAAUAUAUGUUAAGUGGAAAAGGAUGUGGGGUUGCUUAGACAACCAGGAUGUUGGCUUAGAAGCAGCCACCAUUGAAAGAGUGCGUAAUAGCUCACUGGUCGAGUGACCCCGCGCCGAAAAUGUACCGGGGCUAAACAUAUUACCGAAACUGUGGAUGAACCUCUUUAGAGGUUCGUGGUAGGAGAGCGUUCUAAGGGCGGUGAAGUCAGACCGGAAGGACUGGUGGAGCGCUUAGAAGUGAGAAUGCCGGUAUGAGUAGCGAAAGAAGGGUGAGAAUCCCUUCCACCGAAUAUCUAAGGUUUCCUGAGGAAGGCUCGUCCGCUCAGGGUUAGUCGGGACCUAAGCCGAGGCCGAUAGGCGUAGGCGAUGGACAACAGGUAGAGAUUCCUGUACCAGUGCUAAUUGUUUAACCGAUGGGGUGACACAGAAGGAUAGGGAAUCGCACGAAUGGAAAUGUGCGUCCAAGCAGUGAGUGUGAGAAGUAGGCAAAUCCGCUUCUCGCGAAGCAUGAGCUGUGAUGGGGAAGGAAAUUAAGUACGGAAGUUCCUGAUUUCACGCUGUCAAGAAAAGCCUCUAGGAAGAGUAGUACUGCCCGUACCGCAAACCGACACAGGUAGAUGAGGAGAGAAUCCUAAGGUGAGCGAGAGAACUCUCGUUAAGGAACUCGGCAAAAUGACCCCGUAACUUCGGGAGAAGGGGUGCUCUAUUAGGGUGCAAGCCCGAGAGAGCCGCAGUGAAUAGGCCCAGGCGACUGUUUAGCAAAAACACAGGUCUCUGCAAAACCGUAAGGUGACGUAUAGGGGCUGACGCCUGCCCGGUGCUGGAAGGUUAAGAGGAGUGCUUAGCUUCGGCGAAGGUACGAAUUGAAGCCCCAGUAAACGGCGGCCGUAACUAUAACGGUCCUAAGGUAGCGAAAUUCCUUGUCGGGUAAGUUCCGACCCGCACGAAAGGCGCAACGAUCUGGGCACUGUCUCAACGAGAGACUCGGUGAAAUUAUAGUACCUGUGAAGAUGCAGGUUACCCGCGACAGGACGGAAAGACCCCGUGGAGCUUUACUGCAACCUGAUAUGGAAUGUUUGUACCGCUUGUACAGGAUAGGUAGGAGCCGAAGAGACGUGUGCGCUAGCAUACGAGGAGGCAAUGGUGGGAUACUACCCUGGCUGUAUGACCAUUCUAACCCGCCACGCUUAGCGCGUGGGGAGACAGUGUCAGGUGGGCAGUUUGACUGGGGCGGUCGCCUCCUAAAGAGUAACGGAGGCGCCCAAAGGUUCCCUCAGAAUGGAUGGAAAUCAUUCGCAGAGUGUAAAGGCACAAGGGAGCUUGACUGCGAGACUGACAAGUCGAGCAGGGACGAAAGUCGGGCUUAGUGAUCCGGUGGUUCCGCAUGGAAGGGCCAUCGCUCAACGGAUAAAAGCUACCCCGGGGAUAACAGGCUUAUCUCCCCCAAGAGUCCACAUCGACGGGGAGGUUUGGCACCUCGAUGUCGGCUCGUCGCAUCCUGGGGCUGUAGUCGGUCCCAAGGGUUGGGCUGUUCGCCCAUUAAAGCGGCACGCGAGCUGGGUUCAGAACGUCGUGAGACAGUUCGGUCCCUAUCCGUCGCGGGCGCAGGAAAUUUGAGAGGAGCUGUCCUUAGUACGAGAGGACCGGGAUGGACACACCGCUGGUGUACCAGUUGUUCCGCCAGGAGCAUCGCUGGGUAGCUAUGUGUGGCAGGGAUAAACGCUGAAAGCAUCUAAGCGUGAAGCCCCCCUCAAGAUGAGAUUUCCCAUUUCUUCGGAAAGUAAGAUCCCUGAAAGAUGAUCAGGUAGAUAGGU